rnacentral:rRNA from 1 species
UACGGAGGGGGCUAGCGUUGUUUCGGAAUUACUGGGCGUAAAGCGCACGUAGGCGGCUUUGCAAGUUAGAGGUGAAAGCCCGGGGGCUCAACUCCGGAAUUGCCUUUAAAACUGCAUCGCUAGAAUUGUGGAGAGGUAAGUGGAAUUCCGAGUGUAGAGGUGAAAUUCGUAGAUAUUCGGAAGAAACACCAGUGGCGAAGGCGACUUACUGGACACAUAUUGACGCUGAGGUGCGAAAGCGUGGGGAGCAAACAGGG